rnacentral:rRNA from 1 species
UACGUAGGGGGCUAGCGUUGUCCGGAUUUAUUGGGCGUAAAGAGCGUGUAGGCGGCCAGGUAGGUCUGCUGUGAAAACUCGAGGCUCAACCUCGAGACGUCGGCGGAAACCAUCUGGCUAGAGUCCGGAAGGGGAGAGUGGAAUUCCUGGUGUAGCGGUGAAAUGCGCAGAUAUCAGGAAGAACACCCGUGGCUAAGGCGGCUCUCUAGUACGGUACUGACGCUGAGACGCGAAAGCGUGGGGAGCGAACAGG